UAUGUAGGGUGCGAGCGUUGUCCGGAAUUAUUGGGCGUAAAGAGCUCGUAGGCGGUGUGUCACGUCGGCCGUGAAAACCUGCAGCUUAACUGUGGGCGUGCGGUCGAUACGGGCAUCACUGGAGUUCGGCAGGGGAGACUGGAAUUCCUGGUGUAGCGGUGAAAUGCGCAGAUAUCAGGAGGAACACCGGUGGCGAAGGCGGGUCUCUGGGCUGGUACUGACGCUGAGACGCGAAAGCGUGGGGAGCGAACAGG
rnacentral:rRNA from 1 species